UACGUAGGGACCAAGCGUUGUUCGGAUUUACUGGGCGUAAAGGGCGCGUAGGCGGCAAUUCAAGUCAUCUGUGAAAUCUCCGGGCUUAACCCGGAACGGUCAGGUGAUACUGUUUUGCUAGAGUGUGGAAGGGGCAAUCGGAAUUCUCGGUGUAGCGGUGAAAUGCGUAGAUAUCGAGAGGAACACCAGAGGAGAAGACGGGUUGCUGGGCCGACACUGACGCUGACAGCGCGAAAGCCAGGGGAGCAAACGGG
rnacentral:rRNA from 1 species